GAUGAACGCUGGCGGCGUGCCUAAUACAUGCAAGUCGAGCGGACGGACGAGAAGCUUGCUUCUCUGAUGUUAGCGGCGGACGGGUGAGUAACACGUGUAUAACCUACCUAUAAGACUGGGAUAACUUCGGGAAACCGGAGCUAAUACCGGAUAAUAUUUUGAACCGCAUGGUUCAAAAGAGAAAGACGGUCUUGCUGUCACUUAUAGCUGGAUCCGCGCUGCAUUAGCUAGUUGGUAAGGUAACGGCUUACCAAGGCAACGAUGCAUGGCCGAACUGAGGGGGUGAUCGGCCACACUGGAACUGAGACACGGUCCAGACUCCUACGGGAGGCAGCAGUAGGGAAUCGUCCGCAAUGGGCGAAAGCCUGACGGAGCAACGCCGCGUGAGUGAUGAAGGUCUUCGGAUCGUAAAACUCUGUUAUGAGGGAAGAACAGAUGUGGAAGGAACUGUGCACAUCUUGACGGUACUUAAUCAGAAAGCCACGGCUAACUACGUG
rnacentral:rRNA from 1 species